UACGGAGGGAGCUAGCGUUGUUCGGAAUUACUGGGCGUAAAGCGUGCGUAGGCGGCUAUUCAAGUCAGAGGUGAAAGCCUGGAGCUCAACUCCAGAACUGCCUUUGAAACUAGAUAGCUAGAAUGUCGGAGAGGUGAGUGGAAUUCCGAGUGUAGAGGUGAAAUUCGUAGAUAUUCGGAAGAACACCAGUGGCGAAGGCGGCUCACUGGACGACUAUUGACGCUGAGGCACGAAAGCGUGGGGAGCAAACAGG
rnacentral:rRNA from 1 species